rnacentral:rRNA from 1 species
AGCUUAAAGUUUUUUAAUUUUAGGUGUCUCACUGCCCGGUGAUGCUUUUUAAACGGCCGCAGUACCGUGACUGUGCUAAGGUAGCAUAAUAAUUUGGCUUUUAAUUGGGGUCUUGAAUGAACGGAGGGUAGGGGAGAUUCUGUCUCUAGAGGAGUUAAUUUAACUUACUUAAGAGGUGAAAAUCUCCUCUUUUAUGAAGAAGACGAGAAGACCCUAAGAAUUUUAAAAAAAAUUUGAUUGCUUUUUUUGUUGGGGUGACAAGUUAGCAAAUUAACAUAACUAUUAAUACAAGAAAGUUUAUCUUGGUUGAUUAAAUUACCUUAGGGAUAACAGCAUAAUUUAUAGUUUUAGAUUGUGACCUCGAUGUUGGACUAGGGACUGUAUGGCUAGCAGUCAACGCAGAUAGUUCUGUUCGAACUUUAACACCCU